UCUUUUUCUUCCUUUUCUUUUCUUAUCAGAACUUUGUUUGUGUUUCUUAUAACAGUCAAAAGAUGGCAUAUUCUGGAUGUCCUGGCAAGACUUCCAAAUUCAUUUUCGAUCAAUAUAUGUUUGCCGUAUCUAUCCCCCAGAGAUGCGCUACUCUGUUCACGGCCAAUGGCGAAGUUAUAGUGCUGGUGGUUGCCAAGACUAUGAGACAUGGCAUCAAAAUCCACAAUUCCGAUUGCGGGCCACAGGGCCAGAUGCCUCAUUUCCAAUUCAUGUAUUCAUUACAUUGACACAGGUAUCUUUAUUGCCCCCCCCUGUUGCAGAUUUAUCCAUAAUUAUCUUUUUAUUGCUAGAUUUUUUUUAAUGACUUUUUUCACAUGUUCUCUGCCUAGGGUGUGAGCUUCUCAAGAACAGUUGCUGGUUUCAGAAACUAUCAAUCCAGCCAUGAUUCAAUGAUGUUCUAUAUUGGGAUGAGGAUACUCAAAACCCGAGGCCGCCGAGCUGCUUACAAUAUAUACCUACAUGAAUCAGUUGGUGGGACAGAUUAUGUUAAUUCACGAGAAAUAUCGUGUGAAAUGGUUUUGGAUCCAGAUCCAAAAGGUUACACAAUAGUCCCAACAACUAUACACCCUGGCGAAG
rnacentral:lncRNA from 1 species